UACGAAGGGUGCAAGCGUUACUCGGAAUUACUGGGCGUAAAGGCGUGCGUAGGUGGUUUGUUAAGUCUGCUGUGAAAGCCCCGGGCUCAACCUGGGAAUGGCAGUGGAUACUGGCAAGCUAGAGUGCGGUAGAGGGGUGUGGAAGUUCCCGGUGUAGCGGUUGAAAUGCGUAGAGAUGGGAGGAACACCAGUGGCGAAGGCGGCACCCUGGACCAGCACUGACACUCAUCACGAAAAG
rnacentral:rRNA from 1 species